AGGGAGGGGGGAGGCGGAGUCCGGGAGAGCCCGGAGCGGGCACGGGGCCCGCCCGUCUCCCCGCGGGCCCGCCCGUCCCGACCCCUUCGGACGGACGGGCGACCCCCCAUGCGGUCUUUAAACCUCCGCGCCGGAACGCGAUACUAGGUACCUGGACACGGGGGGAACGGACGGACGCGCGGGAGGCGGAGGGGGGAACGCCGGCGGCAGGACGCCGGCGGCGGGCGGGCAG